AAACAGGAUUCACUGGAAUCCACAAAAUUUUUACCGUAACGUUUCGU
rfam:Podiceps cristatus contig131457, whole genome shotgun sequence.